rnacentral:misc_RNA from 1 species
UGCUGAUCCUGUUUUCAGUUACAUUAUUGCUUUGGCUAUGUUGGUCACUAAAAGAUGACUCGUCGAUUGCUGGGAAAAAGAGAAGUAAGACAACCGAUAUUCAAUCUUCACAACUUUGAUGACACAAACAAAGAGUGCACAGAUUGAACUUAUUGUAAAGUUAACGAUAUUUUAUUGGUAGAAGUUUCAGCUUUACAAGCCUGAUCCUGCAAGCCUUCGCUUCGUAGCAUUGGAUGCUGCCACUGGACCAAGUUGGUCUCCUUCAGUAGAUGUUGGUCGUUCAUUGAGAGGCGAGUAGUGCCGGAGCCAGAUGCCGGUGUAUACCUCCUGUGGCCUCAUAAUCUUCGUAUCAGGAUCAUCAAGAGACUCACGCCAGUGUGCUAAGUAUCCAGACAUACGAGGGAUUGCAAACAAAACAGUAAAGAACUCCGGUGGAAACCCCAUCGCCCUGUAGAUUAACCCGGACCAAAAGUCAAUAUUCGGGUAAAGUUUCCUUUUAAUAAAGAAAUCAUCAGACAAUCCGGCUUUCUCCAAUGCAAUAGCUAACUCUAUAAGGGGGUCCUGUCCAACAAUAGAAAAAACCUCCUCGGCUAACUUGCGGACUACUUUUGCGCGAGGGUCGUAGUUUUUGUAUACACGGUGUCCAAAGCCAGUCAGUUUCCUCUUCCUGUUCUUAACACCUUCAAUGAAUUCUGGUAUAUUCUCGACCGUUCCAAUCUCACUCAGCAUUUUGAGGACAGCCUCAUUUGCACCACCAUGGAGGGGGCCAUACAGUGCUCCGGCACCUCCAGAAAGGGCAGUGUAAACAUCCACACCACUUGAUGCAAGAUGUCUCACGGUAGCUGUAGAGCAAUUCAUUUCAUGCUCCGCAUGCAGAAUAAAAAGAAUGUCAAGUGCACGAGCAAGCCGAGGAUUAGGCUUGUAGGUCCUGUCGCCCAAAGAGUCCAACAUAUACAAGAAAUUUUCUGAAUAAGAAAGAUUGUUGGAAGGGAGCACCGGAGGUCUUCCAGCCAUUCUCAAAUAAGCUGCUGCUGCAAUUGUCGGUAUCUUCCCAAUUACACGAGCAAUUUGCUUAUCUCUCACUUGCUUUGACUGGUAAAGAUCUAGACCCAGGAGGGCGGGAUUGGCAUCCGGAUGAAACACUGACAGCGCACUCAACGCACUAACAACCAUACCCAUCGGAUGUGCAUCGUGCGGCAUCGCUUGUAUAAUAUCCAGAAGGCCCUGCGGGACAGCAGAAUGCUGCGAAAUGGCAAACUCCCAAUCCACCAGCUGGCUCUUCGACGGCAGAUUCCCAUACAUCAGCAGAUACGCAACCUCCGGAUAAGUGCUGUGCUCGGCCAGCUCCUCAAUUGGAUACCCCCGGUAGCGCAGCACCCCCUCAUCCCCGUCGAUGUAACAGAUCGUCGACCGCACCGGGGCGGUGUUGAGGUAGCCGGGAUCAUAGAGCUUCAGCCCCUUGUCGAAUUUGCCGGUUGUGAUCUUUUUAAUAUCGGUAGCUUUGAUGGUGCCGUGUUCGGAGAUCGGGAGUUUGUAGGUCUUGCGGGUGCGUUCGUCCAGGACGGUGAGGGUGCCGGAGAGGUCGCCGGGUGGGGGGAUGGUUGCGGAGACGGGAGAGGGAGAGAUGGGAGAGGCGGCGGCCGAGAGGGCGGCGAGGUGGGCGGAGAGGACGGCGAGGCGGCCGCGGGCGGCGGAGGAGGAGGGGCGGGAUUCCAUGGCGGGGAUUG